GCCACCAUUUUGGCAACCAGGAAGGGACCUCCAAAGCGGGAGAAAGCAUUUAUGGUGAGGAGAAAAGCAGCUGGUAUCACACUCUACCCAAGUCCCAAAAGCAGGUUCACAUAACUCCUGUCUUCAUUAUCUGAUAUCCGGGACUUUUUCCCUUUCACCUUCCAUUAUAGGAUGAUGCAGCAAGAAGGCCCUCACCAGAUACCAGUCCUUUGAUCUUGGACUACCCAGGCUUCAGAACUAUAAGAAAUAAAUCUCCGUUCUUUGAGGAUUACCCAGUUUGUGCUAUUCUGUUAUGGCAGCACAAAAUGGACUAAGACAUAGGUCCAAUCUAAGGCCUAUCUCCCAGAGGACACCUCAUAGCUGUGAAUGAAUGAGCACUAAGUAAGCCAGCAUCUGCCUUUUUUGUUCUGGAAAUCCCACUGUUUAUAAGAUUUCAAACUAUUGCACAUCUCUGGUAAUCUUUUCUCCUUGUUUCUCUCUCUACAAGGUCAAACAGACCUGUACAUUUUCAACUGACUCUACUGGUUCCUUUUAUUUUAUUUUACAUGCUAACUUUGAUGCUUCCCCUUGCUAUUGAGGGACAAUUUAGAAUAAUGAUUAAAGGGAAUAUUUUACAACCAGAAAUUAUAUGUCCUAAUUCCCAUUCUUACCUAUUAGUCAGUGUGUAUCUUUGCUUCUACUCCUAAUUCGCAAAAUGGAGAUAAAAUUGUAAACUGGACUCUCAGGGUAGGUGUAAGAAGCAGAUGACUUAACAUAUACAGAGCACUUAGAAAAAGUGCUGAGGCUCAAUCUCUGGGGUCUCUUUUAUUUUUGUUUUUACUUAUCUUUAUUUUGUAUUUGUAUAAUUUUAAGGGAUACACAUGACAUUUUGCUAUAUGGGUAUGUUGCAUACUGGUGAAACCUGGGCUUUCAGUAUAACCAUCUCCUGAGUAAUGUUCAUUAUACCAGUUAGGUAAUUUAUCAUUCCUUUUAUGAGGGUACUCAUUCUAUUCAUGAGGACUCUGAGUCCAUGACCUAAUCCCCUGCAAAAGUCCCUACCUUAUAAAACAGACAGAUUUGGGGUUAGAAUUUCAACAUAUGAAUUUUAGGGGGACACAAACGUUGUCUAUAUAAAGUGGUAAUGUAUGUUAAAAUCUCUGUAAAAUAGGCAACCACUAUAAUUCAUCCUUAUGACCAAUACUUCCAAUUGUACAUCCACAUUUUCUCUUUUCUAUAGUUAUUCUGUAUUAAAAUUCCUUCCUUUUGAGUCCCUGUAAACAACCUAGCUCAUUCUCCAUCUUCAGAAUCAGAAAUCUAAUAGGGCAUAGUUGAUUCGGGUUAAAAUUACUCUGGCUAAAAUUGAAAGGAAUGUUUGCUAUUGUAAUGAUAAAAUUAACAUGUAAGAUGGAGAUCAUAAAUAUAAUUAAGGAAAUUCAAUUUUUCUACUAAACUUCAUAGAAUCAUUAGGAGAAUAAUAGCCUUGUGCCACCAGUUCAAAUGUAGCAAUCCCCUAAUGAGUUAUUUUGAUUAUUGAGUUAUGUAUUUAUAAGACACACAUAUAUUGUAAACUUCAGAUUUCUCAUUCACUUGACUUUGAAUUUUGACAAAAUAUAUGUUUUAAGAAACCAAUUACCACAUCUAUUUAUUUAGUCAUGGACUUUCUUCUCAAGAUCAGUACAACACUAUUUUAUUUGAAAUGAUGUUUGUUUCUCAGAGUAAGGGAAAUAACAUAACUUUUAGAUGACUUCUAAAUUAAUCAAAAUCAAUAUGCACAGUAUCAAUAUAUGUAACUUAGAAUAGUUUUAUUGUUACUCAUCUAUUUAAUAAAUAUUAUUGUGCAUAUUAUAUAGUAGAUUGUGUGCUAGGUGCUGGGAAUAUGAAGAAGAAAUAAAAUAUGUUCUGAUUUCAGAGAACAGAUAACCUAAUAAGAGAAAUCAGAAAUGUAAAAUAUAAAUAAAUGGGAAUCAACAUGGUUACUAUUAUAAUAAAGGUCUAUACAAGAACAUUGAAGGAAUAACUUUACAUGGGGUAAUCAAGAAAGCUGUUAUCAAAAUUUGAGACUUAUCAUUUCCUAAAACUUUGUUUUACAUAUAUUCUAUAAUUUUAAAAUAAUAUUAAUUGCUCCCUUUAUCAGCAUCAUACUAGUCCCCUAAGUGAACAGAUCAUUGCAUUCAGAAAGAACAUCUCAGUCUUGGGUAACUGAAAGUGGUAACCUCCUAUGCUCUCACCAUAUAAAGUGAUCAUUUUCCAAAAACAGAAAACACAAAUUUUGUUUUGAUUUUUUUCUUCCAUGCCUGUAAAUAUAUACAAGCCUUCAUCAUGUUUCCAGUGACCUUCAAACCUCUAGUUCUGACCCACUUUUUCUCUUCUUUUCACUCAGCUUAUGGUAUAGAAUAAAAACCCAUCAAUAUCCUUCUUGGAAGUUAAAAUUUCUAUGUACAUCAUCACUUAACAGGUGCUGAUUUUCUGUCAUUUUUAAGCCUUCAUUUCCACUAAUCAAGGUCAAAUUAGGUUUUGCAGACUAGAAAUAGUGGAUUGGACUCACGUAGAUUAGAUUCAUUCAAAAACUCUCUAUGUAUUAGCAUACUUUGAAAUGCCUGUAGAAUGGGUUUCUCCUCCUUGCCUGUAGUCCUUUAAGAGUCUCGAAACACGACCGUGUCUUUUCUAUGUACAUUUCCCUUGAUGCAUCUCUACAUUUCCCAUAAGCAGAGUGUCGCUAACACCGGUAAACACUAACUCAUACAUAUUCAAUGAUUGCUGUGAUGCUGGGGUUCCAAAUGUCCUAAGCAAGCACUUGAACUUCCUGAAGUUACUCUUUUACUAGAUCUAGGCAGGUAGAUAUAAAGUGAUUUUAAAUAGUUUUUUUUAAAAUUUAUGUAUUAAAAUGAGGUUCUAGUAGAUCAUAGUAUCAGGAAAUUCUGUAUAUUUUUAUGCUUAUCUGUCCAAC
rnacentral:lncRNA from 1 species